rnacentral:lncRNA from 1 species
AAAACAAACAACAACAAACAAGAGUGGUAGGCAACAUUUCUCGCUUCAGACAUUUUAAAACCUCCCUAAUGAGCAACUGCCUUUACCAAAGUCUCCUCUUCCUGGGGACCAGAAACUUCUCCCAUCCUGCUACUUGAAGUGUGGCCCCAGGACAAGUAGUACUGGCAUCACCUGGAGUCUGUUUGAAAUCCGGGCUCUUAAGCCGCAUUCCAGACCCACUUAACGUGGUGCCCAGGCACUACAGUUGUGAUGAGGCAAUUGCAACAUUUGAAAAGACCCCAGGGAGUUUGCAUUAAAUGCGUUUCACAAGAGUGAAUGAUGGAACAGAACACCAUGUACAAAGACACAGUCAUCCAACACCCAAGCACAAAUGGCACAAGUUAAACAUGUGACGGCUUGAUGUAUGACAGGUAAUUUGUUUUGCACGUCCAUUUCCAUUUACAUAUGAACUUAAAAACUGUUUACAUUGCUUUUAGGAGUUGCAUUUUAAUAUGCUGGUAUGCUAUUUUUCCCUUCAAGAGAAAAAUUUCAUUUAAAUGUGACUAGUUACUUGGAGAAAAUAGGAUUAUAUAUUCAGGUUUUAUUAUUCCACAAAAUGAAAUUAUUUUGUUUCACUUAGAAUGCCUAUGACGUAAACCACCCUUCACAUCUAUCCAUCUCCACUCUUCUCAAUUUAAAUCAAAUUUUAAAAAAGAAAGAAAAAUGGUUUUUAGCCUUUUUUUUUCCCAUUCUGACUCUUUUAUUGCAUCUUGGAUAUAUUUGACCAAUACAAGCAUAUUUAUACUUCUCAAUCCAAAUUAUAAUCCCCUCUACCUAUUCAUUCCUAAGGUAUAUUUAUUUCUUAGGACAUCAGCAAAGAAUUAAACAGUAUUCUCAGAUGUGCUGGUCAUUCUCUCUGUCAUGAGUUAACUUAAUUGAAAUUAGCCUAAAGAUAUUAAUGUUAUCUGGAAAAAUGAACAUGGGAGAAGAGUUAGGAAAAUUUUGGAAAAAAAUAAUUGGAAAGAAGGUGACCCUUAUUACCCAAUAUUAAAACAUAUUAUGAAGCUACAAUAAUUAAAAACAUUCAGUAAUGGAGAAUAAAUAGGUUAAUAAAACAUAAUAAAAUAUCCAGAAAUAGACCUAAAUAUAUAUGGGAACUUAGUUUAUGAGAAAGCUGGCAUUUCAAAUUAGUGAGAAAAAGAGGGGUUAUUCAUUCAGUGAUAUUCAUACAAGUGGCUAACUGGAAAAAAAAUCAGGCCAGAUAGCUACCUCAUUUUUUACCCCCAAAUACAAUCCUGCUUAUGACAUAUUUACAUGUGAAGGAGAAAAAAAAAAACAAUUCUAGAAGAAAUCUCAGCUAAAUUUAUUUAUACACUUUAAAUGAGAGUUUUCCUAAGAAACCUAUAAUCCAAAAAAGAAACAUAUAUUUCUUUUAUAUGUAUUAAAUAUAUAUAUUUAAUUACAUAAAAUGAAAAUCUUUUGUAUGAAAAUAAAUCACAGAGUGGGAAAACUAAUAACCACAAUAUGCGGCAAAUAUAACAAAUGGCAAAUUUCUUUAAUUUGCAAAGAACUCAUACAAAUCAGGUGCCAAAUAGAAGAAUGGGCAAAGGCUAGGGAAGCACUUUACAGAAAAGGAAAUAUAAAUAGUGAGUAAACAUAUGAAAAGAUGUUCAAACCCAUAAUUAUGGAAAUACAGAUCAAAGCAAUGAGAUUUUUUCCCCCACCAAGCAGAGUGGAAAUUUUUAAUGUUUGAUGAUAUCCAGAGCUGAUACAGGCUUGGAGGAAAUAAAGGGGGUCUCUCAUACAUUUUGCAGGGAGAGUGCACUUUUCUGAAUGAUAAUUAAGCAAGAUGUCUGAAAAUUUAAAAAGCACAUGCCUUUUACGUCACCUGUGCUACUGCUCAGAAUCUAUCCUAUGGAGAUGCUCUGAAAUAUUCACCAAGAUAUAUGCACAAGGAUGUUCAUUUAAAAAUAAUAUUAAAAAAUGGGAAACCACCAAAGUGUCCAUUCAUAGAGAAUUAGUUUUAAAUUAUAAGUCCACACAAUGGGAUUGUAUGCCGCUAUUUAAAAGUCAUUAAAAAGAAAAAGGAGACACAACAUGUUAUCUGGAAAAGUUACCAAGAUAUAUCAUUAAGUUCAAAAUGACAGCAACAAAAACCAAGUACAGAACACCAUGACUAUAUGAUCAUCACCUAUGUGAAAUAAAAACCAACACAAAUCCAGGUAGAUACAUCAUACUUAUAUGUAUCUCUGUGUGUACAUGUGUGCAAGUGUGUGCAUACACAUGUACAAACAUAUAUUCUGCCCCUACCCCAAGAAAUUAUUGGAAGGUGAUUACAAUGGAGAUCUGCCCUUUUAAUGUGGUGUCUUUCUGAACAAUUCAAUUUUUCUAACAUUAUAGCAUCUGUAACUUUUAUUUAUUCAUUGAAUGUCUAUAGAAGCAGAGAAAACAAUGGGCCUUGUUUUCUAUGGUAAAUCCUGGUAAAACACUGCAUUUCACAUAUAAAAUAAAGAAAAAAUCAUUUUUGUGGCCUACCUCCAAAUCACUUUCUUAUUUUUCAGCUGAUUACAGGAACUCCAUGGUUUUGAAAUUAAAAGCAGUUAAUGCCCUUUAUAUUUGUAUAUUUAAGAGAAAAAUUCCUGGUCUUGAAUUAAAAAGCUAAUUUCCAAAAGAAAUGACAAAGAAUCACCCAACCUCUCAAUUUAAAAAAAUCUAGAUGAAAAGAGGUCACUGUCACCCAGAGGGGGGUUCAGGUUGUUCUGUUGGCAUCCUUCAAGCACUUUAAAUUAUUAAACAAACUCAGAUCUACAGCACUUUUCAAAUCUUUCUGAGCAGUCCUUCAACCUAACAGUGCCCUCUUCUGGUUCCAUAAAUUACAUUCACUGUGGUUCACUGAGGUAGAGAAAAAGAAUAAUUUAUAGAAGACGAUAGGAAAAUUCGCAUUGAAAUCUGGGAGAAAAGAGUUGUUUUCCUUGUUAGCAUAUAAAAGCAAAAGUCCAGUUUAAAUAAAAUGUAUAUAAUUAUUACCUAUUAUACAUGUACUAUAUAUGUUAAUUUGUGUGUAUAUAUUUAUGAUAUAUGGUAUACUAUUUAUAUAAUUUAAUAUAUAAAAUACAUAGUAUAAAAACUAAUAUCAUGCAUGAUCUAAAUAGUCCAGUUUGAUAGCAGCGGCUCUAAGUUGGAACUGUUUUGAUCUCAAGUCAAAUAUUUAUUAUAAAUCUAAACUACCUGGGUUUGAUUAAAUUUUUAUUUCCCAUUUUAUUAAUAGGCAUAUUUAACUGAAUUUACUAAAUCUAUAGCUAUAAAACAAAUUACCUUCAAUUUUUAUUCUCAAAGUUUUCAGUCUUGCAGAGAUUUGAGAUCCAUGUAAAAAGGCAGUAAAAACGUGACUUCACUUUGAGAAAUAGUCAUUCUUGAAUUUCACACUCCCUAUCUUCACUCCAAUUUUUUAAAAGAGUUUCUGACUGAUGAAUCUGCACUAAAAGGUCUUCUGCUGUCUAGGUGACCCACCAGAAGGACUGUACUCAUGAUGGAGAAUGAGGAAACAUUCCGAGGCAAGCCACUGGCCAUUUUCAGAUUUUCUAAACAGCGGCUAGGCAACAGCACCCCCUGCUGCCCCGCAAACUAACAUGCACCUUCCACAGUAGGAGGCCCGGAUGCAAGACGGGAAAGCAAGCAGGCUUCUCACUUACUAAGGCAGCAAAUAAUUUGUUAAGCGCAUAUUGUUACUAAGAUAUUGUAGAGGUGGGAGGUGGGGAAGAAUCCACAGAGAAGUGGAACCCUCAUUGUUGUCUCUCAAGGAACUUUCCAUUCAGUUGGGAACACAUAUGACGUAAUGAAACUCCUGAAUGUAGGGCGUGGAGACAUUGAUGAGUUGGUGCUCGAUCUGAGAAACAGUGGAGAGCCGCUCUCCACAUUUAACCAUCCCCAAAUGGUGCCAGUCGUCUAAAGACAUGCCUGAACAAGUGACAGUGUUUGACAGACCUUAUAUCUCCUUUCUAUCACACCAAAAUCUCUGUAGUGAGCUCAGGCAAUGUUUUGACCUGCUGGUGUGCUGAUGCACUUCAGGAUAAAAAGAAUUGGUCCACAUUGUAGCAAUAACUUCCAGGAAGAAACGAGUGGAUUGGACCAGAUUAUCUCUACAAUUUCUUCCAGUGCAAACACUCUGUGAAUGAAGGCACUUGCCUUCUCUCUAAACUGGAAGCCUCUUGAGGGCAGGACUGCAUCUACCUCCUCUCUGUACCCCUGCAGCACCCAGUACAGUGCCCAGCAAUGGACUGGAACCAAACCAGCAGAGCAAAACCAGGUGAGAGGAUACCUUGAGGACACCUUCAGCAACCCAUCUGAAACUAGAUAGCUGUCCUCUGAAAGGCAGCUUUUAUAUAACUAAGAUCACAUUGCAAUGAUGCCAAAUGUCUGAGAAACUCUUGGAAUUACACAAGGAAUUUAAAAAUAUGCAAUAUCAUUUGAAAACCAGCAGGAUACAGAGGGACAGGAGAAACAGAAAGGAAGACAGUAGAAAAGAGGAAGAGUUCCCCAAUCAAAUGCUAUUUAUUAGGAUUUCCCUCUUAUCCAGUAGUUAAAUGAAAUUUCUACAUCAAAGAAAAUCUCUGAGCACUCAGUAAUUUGUCUCUCCAGGGAACGGGAAUUCAGGCGGCUUUUAAAAAUAUCAUGGGGCCCAGCUAAUGUCCAGAAGUCAUCAUUAGAGAGCUGGAGUAGGUUAGAAGGAUGAAGUUUCGUUUGUCAGCCUCCUCCUGGUUCUCUGUAAGAGCCAUCAGUGGAUCCCGCCUAGAAGGGCUUAGCCCUCUUGAAGGGAAAGGCGCCAGCUUUGGAGCCCAGCGGUUGUCUGGUGGAUUUUAUUAUUAGAUUGGAGGUUCCACACAAUGUAAUUAAAGCCCUAUGGCCAUAGCGGCACCAAUGUCACAGGCCUGACUUUUUCUAUUGCAGCUGAUAAAUCUGCAGGCAGAUGGACAAUGUUCUCUUUCCUUUUGCCUCUGUGUGUGUGUAGGAAGAGAUGUGGAUGGACACAUCCCUCAAAAUCAUUUGGCAAGCACUAAUUCAGUUGAAAUGAUGCUUGGCAAGCUCUAGUCAUAACAAAGCAGCCUCAGAAAGGCCU